rnacentral:rRNA from 1 species
UACGUAGGUGGCAAGCGUUGUCCGGAAUCACUGGGCGUAAAGGGUGUGUAGGCGGUCUUCUAAGUCUGGUGUGAAAUCUCCCGGCUCAACUGGGAGGGUGCGCCGAAAACUGGAAGGCUAGAGUGCGGGAUGGGAGAGUGGAAUUCCUGGUGUAGCGGUGAAAUGCGUAGAUAUCAGGAGGAACACCUGUGGUGUAGACGGCUCUCUGGACCGCAACUGACGCUGAGACACGAAAGCGUGGGUAGCAAACAGG